GACAGAGGAGCCAAGCGUUGUCCGGAUUGACUGGGCGUAAAGGGCACGCAGGUGGUCGCGCAAGUGUGAUGUGAAAGCGGCUCGCUUAACGAGCCGAGGCCAUCGCCGACUGCGUAACUCGAGCGCGAGAGAGGUCCGUGGAAUUGCCGGUGUAGUGGUGAAAUGCGUAGAUAUCUGGAGGAACACCGGUGGCGAAGGCGGCAUCCUGGACCGGCAUUGACGCUGAGGAGCGAAAGCCAGGGGAGCAAACGGG
rnacentral:rRNA from 1 species